rnacentral:rRNA from 1 species
ACAAGUGUGAACACCUGCUGAAUUUAAGCAUAUAAGUAGGCAGAGGAUGAGAUACACAACUGGAUUGGCACAGUAGUUGCGAAUGAACAGCAAAUUGCUCAAAUUGAAUUUGGGGACACCUGGCCCUCAACAUGAAAUCUCUGAAUGCUCCACCAACAAAGGCUCAGGAACAAAACCAUUCUGGAGGGGAUUGUGAAAGUGCCAACAGGGGUGAGAAUCCUGUGGUUCUUGCAGACCUUGUUCACGGUGUCUGCUUUCCAGAGUCAUGCUCCUUGGAACUGGAGUGCAAAGUGGGUGGUAGCUUCCACACAAAGGCAAACACACCACUGAGACUGACAGUGAAGAAGUACCGUGAGGGAAGUAUGAAAAGGACUUUGGAAAGAGAUUUAAAAGAGCCUGCACUUGCUGGACAACAAGCAUACAGAAUGAUCGUGUGAUUGGACAGAUUGCUGUGUGAAUACAGGUAACAAUCCUGUGCUGCAUGCGGAGAUUCUUUCUUGGUGUGCCAACUAGUGUGAGAGCAGUCAGUAUCUGUGGGCAGUGCUUGGGGUGUGUCUUGUGUCACAUGUGAUUGUAUGUACCUGGUCUGAACAUGUGAAACUGCAUCUACUGGCAAUGAAGAGUUAUGCAUGCAGUUGCUUUCACCAACGGUUCACCUUGUCAACGACAUGGGUGCCUUUCUGUGUGACCCGUCUUGAAACACGGACCAAGGAGUCUAGGCAGUAUGCAAGCUUGGGGGUGACAAACUCUGAGCACAAUGAAGCUGGAGUCCCGGAAAUGGCAGGGGUGUUCAACCAAGCAACAGGACAAGGUUUGAGUCUGAGCACACUUGUUAGGACCCGAAAGAUGGUGAACUAUGCCUGAAAAGGGCCAAGCCAGGGGAAACUCUGGUGGAGGCUUGCAGCGGUACUGACGUGCAAAUCGUUCGUCACACUUGGGUAUAGGGGCGAAAGACUAAUCGAACCAUCUAGUAGCUGGUUCCCUCUGAAGUUUCCCACAGGAUAGCUGGAGCUGAGGAGUUUCAUCAGGUAAAGCGAAUGACUGGAGGAAUUGGGGGUUGUCUACUUCUGACCUAUUCUCAAACUUUUAAUGGGUAUGCUGCAGUGGUUGCUUCACUGAACCUGCAAGAAAUUCCGUGUUCAAGUGGGCCACUUUUGGUAAGCAGAACUGGCGAUGAGGGGUGAACCUGAUGAUUGGUUGAGGCACUCAACUUCGUGCUCAUCAGAUACCUGAAGGGUGUUGGCUCAUUUUGACAGCAGGACGGUGGUCAUGGAAGUCGAAAUCCGCUUGGGAGUGUGUAACAACUCACCUGCCGAAUGGACUGGCCCUGAAAAUGGAUGGUGCUCCAGCGCGUGGCUGAGACUAUCCCACCUACUUUUGAGCAAAAGCCCAUGAUGUGUAGGAGGGUAUGGGAGUUUGCAAUGAAUUGCCUGGCAAGAACCUGCAUGGAGCAGCUUCUGGUGCAGAUCUUGGUGGUAGUAGCGGAUAUUCCAGUGAGACCUUUGAAGACUGAGGUGGAGAAGGGUUUCAUGUGAACAGCACUUGGACAUGGGUUAGCCGAACCUGAUGGAGCCAGAUUCUGCCAAUGAGGCCUUGCCUGCUCCUUGACAGAGAAUGGGGUUAACAUUCCUCAGCCAGGACGUGGAUAAUGCAUGGUGACAUAAGCCAACUUGGCAAUACAGGGGGAAGCCUUUGGAAGCGUUAUCUCUUCUUUUUGAUGGUGUAGUGCCCUGGAAUCAGAUUGUUUGGUGGUAGGGAUUGUUGAUGAGCAGAGCACCUUGUUUGCUGAGGUAUCUCAGUGUGCUUCCAGUGGUCCAUGAAAAGCCUGAGGAAGGACUUAUUCACCCCCCUGGUCGUGCCCACAACCGCAUCAGGUCUCCCAGGUUAGCUGCCUCUGGUCUGUGGAAUGAACUGGGUGAGGGAAGUCGGCAAAUUGGAUCUGGAACUUUGGGAAAAGGAUUGGCUCUGAGGGGUGGGUGUGGGGAUCCUUGUGUUGAUGCUUGAACCAAGCAAGAGCUGCUUGAUGCCACUGGUAGACAGCGGAUUUGUGCACGGUGAGAACUGCUGGACAAGGAGUGUUCUGUUGAGCUCAUUUUCACACGAUGAACAACUGGCUUAGAACUGAUUCGGGCAAGGGGAAUCCGACUGUUUAAUUGAAACAAAGCAUUGCGAGGGCCUCAAAGGGUGGUGCCACAAUGUGAUUUCUGCCCAGUGCUCUGAAUGUCAAAGUGAGGAAAUUCAACUAAGCGCGGGUAAACGGCGGGAGUAACUAUGACUCUCUUAAGGUAGCCAAAUGCCUCGUCAUCCAAUUAGUGACGCGCAUGAAUGGAUUAAUGAGAUUCCCACUGUCCCCAUCUACUGUCCAGCGAAGCCACAGCCAAGGGAACGGGCUUGGGUAAAUCAGCGGGGAAAGAAGACCCUGUUGAGCUUGACUCUAAUCUGACUUUGUGAAAUGACUUAGGAGGUGUAGGAUAUGUGGGAGCUCUGGUGAUCUUGAAAUACCACUACUCUUAAUGUCACUUUACUUACUCUAUCAGACUGUGGCCUGCUUCCCAGCAGGUUUUUGUUUCAAGGCAUCUCAUCUGACUUGUUGACUUGCGUAGAGGACGUAGUCAGGUGGGCAGUUUGGCUGGGGCGGCACAUCUGUAAAAGGAUAACGCAGGUGUCCCAAGGUAAGCUCAAGGAGAACAGAAAUCUCAUGUGGAUCAGAAGGGGAAAUGCUUGCUUGAUUUUGCUUUUCAGUGUGAAGACAAACUGUGCAAACAUGGCCUAUCGAUCCUUUGGGUCUGAGGGAUGUUCAGCUAGAGGUGUCAGAAAAGUUACCACAGGGAUAACUGGCUUGUGGCAGCCAAGCGUUCACAGCGACGUUGCUUUUUGAUCCUUCGAUGUCGGCUCUUCCUAUCAUUGAGAUGCAGAAGUCCCAAAGUGUCGGAUUGUUCACCCGCCAAUAGGGAACGUGAGCUGGGUUUAGACCGUCGUGAGACAGGUUAGUUUUACCCUACUGGUCAGUUGAUGUUGCAACUGUAAUCGAAGUCAGUACGAGAGGAACACUUCGUUUGGGCACUUGGCAAAUGUGGUUAGUUGAGAGGCUAAUUCCCCCAAGCUAUUGUCUGCUGGAUCAUGACUGAACGCCUCUAAAAUCGAAUCCAUGCUGGUGUGCGAAUGUCUUUCAUCAAUUUUCAAGUGUAUAUGCCCUUUAUGAGGUAAUUGAGGCUUGUUCUGGUUGGUAUUGUCUCUGUACAAAGAAGUGCAGUGGAUAUGGUAGAUUCAUCACACAUGAUCUUGGGAAUCUGGGCAUUGUAAGUGCUGAGAGUGGUCAUAUCCACCACGAUUCACUGAGAUCUGGCCCAUGCUUG